CGGAGGGUGCGAGCGUUGUCCGGAAUCACUGGGCGUAAAGGGCGCGUAGGCGGCCGAGCAAGGUCGCGGUGAAAGCCCGGGGCUCAACCCCGGGUCGGCCGUGGCAACUACUCGGCUCGAGCACUGUAGGGGCGGGUGGAAUUCCGGGUGUAGCGGUGGAAUGCGUAGAGAUCCGGAAGAACACCGGUGGCGAAGGCGGCCCGCUGGGCAGGAAGGCUCGCAAGAGCCGGCUGACGCUGAGGCGCGACAGCGUGGGGAGCAAACAGGAUUAGAUACCCUGGUAGUCCACGCCGUAAACGAUGGGCACUAGGUGCCGUGGGGGAGCGACCCCCCGGGUGCCGGCGCUAACGCAUUAAGUGCCCCGCCUGGGGAGUACGGCCGCAAGGCCG
rnacentral:rRNA from 1 species